UACGAAGGGGGUUAGCGUUGUUCGGAAUUACUGGGCGUAAAGGGCGCGUAGGCGGUGUGUCAAGUCAGGCGUGAAAGCCCCGGGCUCAACCUGGGAACAGCGCUUGAGACUGGCACGCUCGAGUUCGGGAGAGGAUGGUGGAAUUCCCAGUGUAGAGGUGAAAUUCGUAGAUAUUGGGAAGAACACCGAUGGCGAAGGCAGCCAUCUGGACCGACACUGACGCUGAGGCGCGAAAGCGUGGGGAGCAAACAGG
rnacentral:rRNA from 1 species